CCUACGGGUGGCAGCAGUGAGGAAUAUUGGUCAAUGGGCGCGAGCCUGAACCAGCCAAGUAGCGUGCAGGAUGACUGCCCUACGGGUUGUAAACUUCUUUUAUAAAGGAAUAAAGUGAGGCACGUGUGCCUUUUUGUAUGUACUUUAUGAAUAAGGAUCGGCUAACUCCGUGCCAGCAGCCGCGGUAAUACGGAGGAUCCGAGCGUUAUCCGGAUUUAUUGGGUUUAAAGGGAGCGUAGAUGGGUUGUUAAGUCAGUUGUGAAAGGUUGCGGCUCAACCCGUAAAUUGCAAUUGAUACUGGGAGGCUUGAGGACAGGUGGGGUUGGUGGGAUUUGUGGUG
rnacentral:rRNA from 1 species